rnacentral:rRNA from 1 species
AGAGUUUGAUCCUGGCUCAGGAUGAACGCUGGCGGCGUGCCUAACACAUGCAAGUCGAGCGGGAAGUCUUGAUUGAAACUUCGGUCGAAAGAUGAGAUGGAUAGCGGCGGACGGGUGAGUAACGCGUAGGUAACCUGCCCCUUACACAGGGAUAGCCCGGGGAAACCUGGAUUAAUACCUGAUAAUGCGGUGAAGUCACAUGGCUUUACCGCCAAAGAUUUAUCGGUGAGGGAUGGACCUGCGUCUGAUUAGCCAGUUGGUGGGGUAACGGCCUACCAAAGCGACGAUCAGUAGCCGACCUGAGAGGGUAAUCGGCCACAUUGGAACUGAGACACGGUCCAAACUCCUACGGGAGGCAGCAGUGGGGAAUAUUGCACAAUGGGCGCAAGCCUGAUGCAAGCAACGCCGCGUGAGCGAUGAAGGUCUUCGGAUUGUAAAGCUCUGUCCUUGAGGACGAAAACUGACGGUACUCUUGGAGGAAGCCCCGGCUAACUACGUGCCAGCAGCAGC